rnacentral:lncRNA from 1 species
CAAAACACAAAGCAUUAUGAGCAUAUACUUAGAUAUUUCUCCCCCUUUUUGACAACAUCAAAAAGAUAGUGAAACAUGAAGCACAAAGAUAAGAAGACUCAAAUAUUUUUUUUCCUUAUUGUACUCUGAUUUGCAUGUCAAAUUAUUGCAAGGAUAUGAAUCAUAAAACUCAAGGCAAUAAUAUUAGAAUCAGAUUAAUGAGCAUAGAUCAGAGCCAAUUAAGAUAAUUUCAGAGCAGAACACAUCGAAUGUGAUUUCAAGAAGUUUUCUAAUUUGAUACCACAGAUAGUUUUUUUAAUCAAGUAUAGGUGGAAUCUUCCUUAGGUUAAUACAAGAAGUACCACAAAUGAUAUUCAAGGAAAUACAUGAGUGGAAAUCUAACCUCUCUUUAAUAAGUAUGAAAGCUUGUUCAUUUAAGACCUUUUGCCCAAUCUAUUAAGUAUUUUAUCAACAUGAGAGCAAUUUAAUUGAUUUUCAGAGUAAAAGAUCAAAACUUAUAUAUUUGAAAGACAUAUCAUCAUGUUGGAUCAUUAAUUCUUAAUGACUUCAAGGUUCUUUUAUGAUAAUAAGAGCAUUGCGGCACAAAUACCAAAAUAUGAAUUCAUGCAAUUUAUGAUUCAUCUCAGAGCUCUUUUAAAGACUUUCUUUUGUUCUUUUAGAAAAUAAGCACAAUUUGAUACAUAAAAA